UGGGGAAUAUUGGGCAAUGGGCGCAAGCCUGACCCAGCAACGCCGCGUGAAGGAAGAAGGUUUUCGGAUUGUAAACUUCUGUCCUUGGGGACGAAACAAAUGACGGUACCCAAGGAGGAAGCCCCGGCUAACUACGUGCCAGCAGCCGCGGUAAUACGUAGGGGGCUAGCGUUAUCCGGAAUUACUGGGCGUAAAGGGUGCGUAGGUGGUUUCUUAAGUCAGAGGUGAAAGGCUACGGCUCAACCGUAGUAAGCCUUUGAAACUGGGAAACUUGAGUGCAGGAGAGGAGAGUGGAAUUCCUAGUGUAGCGGUGAAAUGCGUAGAUAUUAGGAGGAACACCAGUUGCGAAGGCGGCUCUCUGGACUGUAACUGACACUGAGGCACGAAAGCGUGGGGAGCAAACA
rnacentral:rRNA from 1 species